GAUGAACGCUGGCGGCGUGCCUAAUACAUGCAAGUCGAGCGAAUGGAUUAAGAGCUUGCUCUUAUGAAGUUAGCGGCGGACGGGUGAGUAACACGUGGGUAACCUGCCCAUAAGACUGGGAUAACUCCAGGAAACCGGGGCUAAUACCGGAUAACAUUUUGAACCGCAUGGUUCGAAAUUGAAAGGCGGCUUCGGCCGUCACUUAUGGAUGGACCCGCGUCGCAUUAGCUAGUUGGUGAGGUAACGGCUCACCAAGGCAACGAUGCGUAGCCGAACUGAGAGGGUGAUCGGCCACACUGGGACUGAGACACGGCCAAGACUCCUACGGGAGGCAGCAGUAGGGAAUCUUCCGCAAUGGACGAAAGUCUGACGGAGCAACGCCGCGUGAGUGAUGAAGGCUUUCGGGUCGUAAAACUCUGUUGUUAGGGAAGAACAAGUGCUAGUUGAAUAAGCUGGCACCUUGACGGUACCUAACCAGAAAGCCACGGCUAACUACGUGCCAGCCGCCUCGGUAA
rnacentral:rRNA from 1 species